rnacentral:lncRNA from 1 species
UGUUCUGAUGCAUCUGUCCCAGUAGUUGUUAGGGGCCUACUAGUUGAGACACCUAUACUCCCGCUCGGAUGGUUGCCUCUUAUUUCUUAUUAUCAACUAUGGACUCGAUCAGCGUCUUCUUCAUCUCUUCUUUUUCAUCUAUCUUUCUCACCUUUUUCUCUAUUUUUGUUUCUUCAUCGCUAUCAGGCCUCUCUCUCUUACCCUUGCCUUUUUUCUUGCC